rnacentral:rRNA from 1 species
UAUCGGAUGACGUCGCGACUUAAAGAUUUAUCGCCCCGAGAGGGGCCCACGUGAUAUUAGCUAGUUGGUGGGGUAACGGCCCACCAAGGCGAAAAUGUCUAGCGGGUGUGAGAGCACGACCCGCGCCACUCGCACUGAGACACUGGCGAGACACCUACGGGUGGCUGCAGUCGAGGAUCUUCGGCACUGGGCGCAAGCCUGACCGAGCGACGCCGCGUGCGCGAUGAAGGCCUUCGGGUUGUAAAGCGCUUUAGGGGGGGAGAAAAGCCGUAAGGUGAAAUCUAUCCCCAAAAUAAGCACGGGCUAAGUUCGUGCCAGCAGCCGCGGUAAGACGAACCGUGCGAACGUUGUUCGGAAUCACUGGGCUUAAAGGGCGCGUAGGCGGGCUGUCAAGUCUGGGGUGAAAUGUCGCGGCUCAACCGCGGAACUGCCUCAGAUACUGACGGCCUCGAGGGAGGUAGGGGCGUGCGGAACUGUGAGUGGAGCGGUGAAAUGCGUUGAUAUUCACAGGAACUCCGGUGGCGAAAGCGGCGCGCUGGACCUCUUCUGACGCUGAGGCGCGAAAGCUAGGGGAGCAAACGGGAUUAGAUACCCCGGUAGUCCUAGCCCUAAACGAUGGGUACUAGAUAGUAGACGAGAUAUGCGUUUACUGUAGAAGCUAAAGUGCUAAGUACCCCGCCUGGGGAGUAUGGUCGCAAGGCUGAAACUCAAAGAAAUUGACGGGGGCUCACACAAGCGGUGGAGCAUGUGGCUUAAUUCGAGGCUACGCGAAGAACCUUAUCCUAGACUUGACAUGUGCGAAAGCGCCAGGUAGUAGGACCCGGAAACGGGAACGAAUGCCCGCAAGGGUAGGGCCUGGUACAGGUGCUGCAUGGCUGUCGUCAGCUCGUGUCGUGAGAUGUCGCGUUAAGUCGCAUAACGAGCGAAACCCUUACCUUUAGUUGCAACCGCAAGGGCACUCUAGAGGGACUGCCGGUGUUAAACCGGAGGAAGGCGGGGAUGACGUCAAGUCCUCAUGGCCUUUAUGUCUAGGGCUGCACACGUGCUACAAUGGCGUGCACAAAGCGAAGCGACCACGCGAGUGGAAGCCAAUCGCAAAAAACACGCCCCAGUUCAGAUGGCAGUCUGCAACUGGCAUCCGUAAAGC